CUGCUCUCUGGAAGAAUGUGUUCUGUACCAAGAAUCUUCUGAAUUAACAUUUCUUGCUGGAAAAACAGCUUAAUCUUUCAGUGAAGCAUGUGGUGGUAGACUUGAAGUCUGGGGUUUGGGGCUGUGUCUACUCAGUUGUCUUGGACAAGCAGCAGAAUUAUGGACUCAGCUUCUGGAGCCAUACUUUGUGGCUCUGAGUUGGCUCUGCCGCCAGGAGCCCACAGUUAAGAGACUUUGGAGUUCAAAAAAUAUUUUAUUUUGUGUUUAUGAGUCUCAUUCUUGCAUGUAUAUCUGUGCAUCACGUGCAUGCCUGGUACCCAUGGAAGCCAAAAGAAGGUGGUGGAUCCCAUGAGACUGGAGUUACAGAGAGUUCAUUCCUGAGUAUUUACCUGGAUGACCCCAAGUCAGUGUAUCAUCGAUGCUUGAUCUUCAGUGUUUAUCACAGCAUUAGUACCAUCUGAAUGCCUCAAGGACAGGAAUGGAGCUGGUCCCCACAUCAGUGGCCUCCCUUAGCUGUGGGAAGUAUACCUGAACUCAAUUAGGAUUAGGGUUUGGGUUAUGGUUAGGGUUAGGGCCAGGGUUACUGUACUCUCUACAGUCGCCAAGUUAUAGAACUAACCUUGGUAUCUACUCAGAGAGGAAUAAAGAAAAACAAUGUGGUUUAUAUACACAGCCAAAUAUUUUUCAGCCAUAGAGAAGAAUGAAGUGAUAUUAUUUGCAGGAAAAAGGAGGCGACUAGAGAUCAUGGUCAGUAAACUGUCAAUGUCAGAGAAAGAAAUAUGUUUAUCUCAUUUGUGCUUCUUAGACUUUAUGGUUUUAUAAAAUCAUAAUUAUAUGAGGACAUGAAUUAAAAGUGAAACCAGUUGGGAGACAUAGGGGACUAAUAGGAGGAGGCUAGAGAAGGGAGGGCAAUGGGGUUGGGAGGGAGUGUGAUCAAAGUGCAUUGAGCACUUCGUGAGAAUGACCUUAUGGAACCCAGAAUAAUAGAUAAAUAGAUUAUUAUAAAAUAAUCAUAACGAAAACUGGCCAUGCUAGUCCACUCUUAGUGGAGUGGGCUCUGAGUAGAGAGUCCAGUGGUACUAAGUACUUUCACUUUAUUGAAUAACCAUCACCACCAUCCAUCUUUAGAACCUUUUCAUUACCCCAAAUGUAAUGACUGUAUUUAGUAAACACAGCCAGUCCAUGCCAUUCUGUGUCAGAGCCUAACUACUCCAGGUACAUCAUAUAGUUGGAGUUAUAUGAUCUUUGAUCUUACAUGUCUGGCUUAUUUUACCUAGCCUUGUGUUAUCUAUCAGUGGA